UAUGCUAUCUCCCCUGCCUUAUAGUAGAUUACCUUCAAGUGAUGAAAGGUUUUUUUUUUUUUUUUUUAAGUAUUUUGAUUUUGAGAGAGAUGCAGAGAGAGAGACAGAGAAACACCAGAGCACUACUCAGCUCUGGCUUAUGGUGGUACAGGGGAUUGAACCUGGGACUUUGGAGCCUCAGGCAUGACAGUCUCUUUGCAUAACCAUUAUGCUAUCUACCCCUGUUUGUGAUGAAAUGUAUUAUUUGCACAAUAUGUUUAUUUCUAGGCAAAAGUGGAAAGCUAGUUGGAAAGUGGUCAUUUUCUUAGAUUUAUGGUUAGUGUGGAUGCUUUAUGAAGAAGUAGAUUGGUGAAAAGUGAAUCUAGACAACAGACAAGUUUUAUUUUUUAUUUCCAUAUGAAAAUAAACUUUAAGCAAAAUUCCAAAAAUCAAGAUUUUUAUAAAAAACAAAGUACCCUCAACAAUAUAGUACCCUGGUUUAAAUUAUAUAUUAACUAUUCUGAUAUGUACAAGAUAUUUACAAAAAUCCUGGCAUUGAUAAAUUACAGUGGAAUUUUUGCAUCUAAAUCCACUGGAACUUGAUUCAAAAAACCAAGUGGUGUUCCAAUUAUGAAGUUGAGGUAGUGGAGAAGGUAUUUCCUCAAAUUUAUGCAAGAUGAUUGUUCCUCAUCUGGCUAGGUCAGUCUUUCCUAAAUAAAG